rnacentral:rRNA from 1 species
GAUGAACGCUAGCUACAGGCUUAACACAUGCAAGUCGCGGGGCAGCAUGGGGGUUGCUUGCCAUCCCCGAUGGCGACCGGCGCACGGGUGAGUAACGCGUAUCCAACCUGCCCUUCACCACGGGAUAACCCGGCGAAAGUCGGACUAAUACCGUAUGUUGUCCAUUGACGGCAUCCGAUUUGGACGAAAGGCUUGGCGGUGAGGGAUGGGGAUGCGUCCGAUUAGCCAGACGGCGGGGUAACGGCCCACCGUGGCUACGAUCGGUAGGGGUUCUGAGAGGAAGGUCCCCCACACUGGAACUGAGACACGGUCCAGACUCCUACGGGAGGCAGCAGUGAGGAAGAUUGGUCAAUGGGCGUAAGCCUGAACCAGCCAAGUAGCGUGCAGGAUGACGGCCCUAUGGGUUGUAAACUGCUUUUAUGCGGGGAUAAAGUGGCCCACGUGUGGGCUUUUGCAGGUACCGCAUGAAUAAGGACCGGCUAAUUCCGUG